UUCCGGUUGAUCCUGCCGGACGUGACUGCUAUCGGAUUGAUACUAAGCCACGUGAGUCAUUGUAGCAAUACAAGGCAGACGGCUCAGUAACACGUAGCCAAUCUACCCUAUGGACGGGGAUAACCUCGGGAAACUGAGGAUAAUCCCCGAUAGAUCAUUAUGCCUGGAACGGUAUAUGGUCAAAAUGAUUCGUCGCCGUAGGAUGGGACUGCGGCCUAUCAGCUUGUUGGUGAGGUAAUGGCCCACCAAGGCUAUUACAGGUACGGGCUCUGAGAGGAGAAGCCCGGAGAUGGGUACUGAGACACGGACCCAGGCCCUAUGGGGCGCAGCAGGCGAGAAACCUUUGCAAUGUGCGCAAGCACGACGAGGUUAAUCCGAGUGUUUCCUGCUAAAGGAAUCUUUUGUUAGUCCUAAAAACACUAGUGAAUAAGGGGUGGGCAAGUUCUGGUGUCAGCCGCCGCGGUAAUACCAGCACCUCAAGUGGUCAGGAGGAUUAUUGGGCCUAAAGCAUCCGUAGCUUGCUCUGUAAGUUUCCUGUUAAAUCCAUUAGCUCAACUAAUGGGCUGCCGGAAAAACUGCAAAGCUAGGAAGUGGGAGAGGUAGACGGUACUCGGUAGGAAGGGGUAAAAUCCUUUGAUCUAUUGAUGACCACCUGUGGCGAAGGCGGUCUACCAGAACACGUUCGACAGUGAGGGAUGAAAGCUGGGGGAGCAAACCGGAUUAGAUACCCGGGUAGUCCCAGCUGUAAACGAUGCAGACUCGGUGAUGCCCUGGCUUGUGGCCACUGCAGUGCCGCAGGGAAGCCGUUAAGUUUGCCGCCUGGGAAGUACGUACGCAAGUAUGAAACUUAAAGGAAUUG
rnacentral:rRNA from 1 species